AUGUACCACUCGUACACUCCGGCUUCUGCGCGCCCACCUGACGACAGCUCGCUGCGUUUUGUUAGGC
rnacentral:sRNA from 1 species